ensembl:lncRNA
GGGAGCGUAACAACUUGUUUGAUUGUUUGGUGGUGGUGGGGGCAAAAUUUAUUAUUAGUAGUAGUUGUAUUAUUCAGCACAAUUAUACACAAAUAUGUUAGGGGAAAAUUAGUUGUUCAUAGGGGGCCCGACACGCGUCACUUAGUCUUGACACUUCUCUGAACUGUCUCUGUCUGGACUACUGAAUGAAUUAUUUUGGACUUGCGAUAUGGACUGUGAAACUUCGAUAAAAGGGAAGCUGAAAACUUUCCACUUCCUUUUUGUAACUCACUGCAGACAAACUACCUGUUUAGCUAAUAUGUGCUACAGUCUACGAAGAAAACAACACACGACACCUUUCACUGCCAUUUAACUCACGCGCUGCGCCAGACAAGCCCCAGCGCGCCCCUCGCGGACAUAGCUGCCGUAUUCUGCUUCGAAGUGUCGCAUCUUCAGAUGUUUACGACACUUGUACGUGGUCUGCAGACGGCAAAGUCGGGCAGUCAGGUUCCAGUUCCGCAACAGGUGCUGUCAUCCGGGUCAUUAGUGACGCAUUUCAGUAACUGACAUUACAUGGACGUAUUUUACUGUGUCAUACAGGAAGAAGUUCACAACAUGGAAAAAACUACUGUAAAUCAUCAAAUCCGAGAAGGCUUAUUGUCUUUCUCUUGCCCCCAGUAAAUCAGGGCAUUGUGCACUUAACUUAAGACUUCUGUAUGUGUGUUUUACAGAAUGGUUAUUCAAACGAGCUCUGUUGACCCCAUGUAAUUUCUUGUCUCCUUUGGCCAUUUUUGUCGAAGCAGUUGUUGAGCUUUCUUAACAACUCGUCAGAGUCACUGCAAGUCCAAGAAGUGCAGACACAAAUGUCAACAUAAACAUGCCAUCUAGCUGCCCGCAGGAGGGCCAGAGGUCCUGCCUUUGGCUCCAGAACCUGAACAUGGACAUUUUGAGGGUAAUCUAUGUUUCUUGGGGGAGUAAAGGAAACCAAAGGCAUGCAGGUUUAUAUGGCAUGCUCCUUCAGAGGGACCAUUACAAGCCCCCCCAGAUACUUAAGAGCCAAGGAAGCAAUCCUGUAACAGCUGGGAAAACAAAAUUGUAGACCACACCGGUAAGUAAACUGUUUUAUGCUAAUACUAUGGAUUUGGGUAUGUUGCUGAGACAAAGCUUCAGUGUGUGUGCAAGCAUAUGAUAUUGCUCACUUCACCUGCCUCUUUUUUUAUGGAUGUGCUGUUAGGGCUGUUAGGGCUGUUGCUUUGCACUCACAGGACUCAGGUUCAAAUCCCACCUUCUCCUUUCGUGCCCCUGAGUGAGCUACUUAACCUGAACUGUUCUAUGUAAAAAUGACCCAAUGGUAUAAAUUGAAUGGGGGGUGCGGUGGCGCAGUGGGUUGGACCAGGUCCUGCUCUCCAGUGGGUCUGGGGUUCAGAAAAUGUGUGUGUGUGGUAUAAAUUGGUAAAUCAUUGUAAGAAGCUUUACAUAGUGUAUCACUUUGGAGCAAACAUAACACACACACACACACACACACACAGACAUUUUCUGAACCGCUUGUCCCAUACGGGGUUGCGGGGAACCGGAGCCUAACCCAACAACUCAGGGCAUAAGGCUGGAGGGGGAGGGGACACACCCAGGACGGGACGCCAGUCCGUCACAAGGCACCCCAAGCGGGACUGGAACCCCAGGACCUGGCCCAACCCACUGCGCCACCGUGCCCUCCUAAGCAAACAUCACAUGAAUGAAUAAAUGUAAAUAUAAUAAAAUAAGGUAGGUUUAU